UCCUGGCUCAGAUUGAACGCUGGCGGCAUGCCUUACACAUGCAAGUCGAACGGUAACAGGUUAAGCUGACGAGUGGCGAACGGGUGAGUAAUGUAUCGGAACGUGCCCAGUCGUGGGGGAUAACUGCUCGAAAGAGCAGCUAAUACCGCAUACGACCUGAGGGUGAAAGCGGGGGAUCGCAAGACCUCGCGCGAUUGGAGCGGCCGAUAUCAGAUUAGGUAGUUGGUGAGGUAAAGGCUCACCAAGCCGACGAUCUGUAGCUGGUCUGAGAGGACGACCAGCCACACUGGGACUGAGACACGGCCCAGACUCCUACGGGAGGCAGCAGUGGGGAAUUUUGGACAAUGGGCGCAAGCCUGAUCCAGCCAUGCCGCGUGCGGGAAGAAGGCCUUCGGGUUGUAAACCGCUUUUGUCAGGGAAGAAAAGGUUCUGGCUAAUACCUGGGACUCAUGACGGUACCUGAAGAAUAAGCACCGGCUAACUACGUGCCAGCAGCCGCGGUAAUACGUAGGGUGCAAGCGUUAAUCGGAAUUACUGGGCGUAAAGCGUGCGCAGGCGGUUAUGCAAGACAGAGGUGAAAUCCCCGGGCUCAACCUGGGAACUGCCUUUGUGACUGCAUGGCUAGAGUACGGUAGAGGGGGAUGGAAUUCCGCGUGUAGCAGUGAAAUGCGUAGAUAUGCGGAGGAACACCGAUGGCGAAGGCAAUCCCCUGGACCUGUACUGACGCUCAUGCACGAAAGCGUGGGGAGCAACAGGAUUAGAUACCCUGGUAGUCCACGCCCUAAACGAUGUCAACUGGUUGUUGGGGAGGUUUUCUUCUCAGUUAACGUAGCUUACGCGUGAAGUUGACCGCCUUGGGGAGUACGCCGCAAGGUGAACUCAAGGUACUUGACGGGGAUCCCGCACAAGCGGUGGAUGAUGUUGUUUAGUCGAUGCACGCGAAAAGCCUAACCUACCUUGAACUUCUUGAUCUGACAAAAUUCUGAAGGUCUCGAAAGAAGUCGACAGGUUCGUCAUGCCUCUCAGUCAGGUCCGGUAGGUGCUAGUUCCGACAGGCUUACCUGCUUAGGUCCAGGACAUAUGACAUCCGGUAUCCUGAAACGUGUAAUCCAGA
rnacentral:rRNA from 1 species